rnacentral:rRNA from 1 species
AUUGAACGCUGGCGGCAUGCCUUACACAUGCAAGUCGAACGGCAGCACGGGUGCUUGCACCUGGUGGCGAGUGGCGAACGGGUGAGUAAUACAUCGGAACAUGUCCUGUAGUGGGGGAUAGCCCGGCGAAAGCCGGAUUAAUACCGCAUACGAUCUACGGAUGAAAGCGGGGGACCUUCGGGCCUCGCGCUAUAGGGUUGGCCGAUGGCUGAUUAGCUAGUUGGUGGGGUAAAGGCCUACCAAGGCGACGAUCAGUAGCUGGUCUGAGAGGACGACCAGCCACACUGGGACUGAGACACGGCCCAGACUCCUACGGGAGGCAGCAGUGGGGAAUUUUGGACAAUGGGCGAAAGCCUGAUCCAGCAAUGCCGCGUGUGUGAAGAAGGCCUUCGGGUUGUAAAGCACUUUUGUCCGGAAAGAAAUCCUUGGUCCUAAUACGGUCGGGGGAUGACGGUACCGGAAGAAUAAGCACCGGCUAACUACGUG